AGAGUUGAUCAUGGCUCAGGAUGAACGCUAGCUACAGGCUUAACACAUGCAAGUCGAGGGGCAGCAUGAUCAAAGCUUGCUUGAUGAUGGCGACCGGCGCACGGGUGAGUAACGCGUAUCCAACCUUCCCCUUAGUAGGGCAUAGCCCGUAGAAAUGCGGAUUAAUACCCUAUGUUAUUCGUCGAGGACAUCUGAAAUGAAUUAAAGGUUUACCGCUAAGGGAUGGGGAUGCGUCCGAUUAGGCAGCAGGCGGGGUAACGGCCCACCUGGCCAACGAUCGGUAGGGGUUCUGAGAGGAAGGUCCCCCCACAUUGGAACUGAGACACGGUCCAAACUCCUACGGGAGGCAGCAGUGAGGAACAUUGGUCAAUGGGCGAGAGCCUGAACCAGCCAAGUAGCGUGCAGGAUGACGGCCCUAUGGGUUGUAAACUGUCUUUUAUGGCGGGGAUAAAGUCACCCACGUGUGGGUGUUUGUAGGUACCGCAUGAAUAAGGACCGGCUAAUUCCGUGCCAGCCGCUGC
rnacentral:rRNA from 1 species